UUGUGGAGGAGGACGCCGAAGGUGGGGCUAAUGACUGGGGUGAAGUCGUAACAAGGUAGCCGUACCGGAAGGUGCGGCUGGAUCACCUCCUAACAGGGAGACAACAAAAUGUAAAUAUUAAUUUUGUCACCUUAGGUCGAUCGGUAUCUCAGAUUCUUAAAUUUUAAGAAUUUCGGUUUCUAAGUUUUUUCUAGGUCACACCCAUCACUUUUUCCUGGGCCAUUAGCUCAGGUGGUUAGAGCGCACCCCUGAUAAGGGUGAGGUCCCUGGUUCAAGUCCAGGAUGGCCCAUAUCUCUAUGUUGGGGGUAUAGCUCAGUUGGUAGAGCGCCUGCUUUGCAAGCAGGAUGUCAGCGGUUCGAGUCCGCUUACCUCCACUGAAUACCACCCCUUACAUAUUUAAUUAAGGGGAAUUGUUUUGAGUCGUGUUCCUUUUCGCUCUGAACGAAUCUAGCUUCCUAUUUUUAGUUAUUAAUAAGAUGCUGGACUCAUUGAAUUUUAUUCUUUGUUUUCAGAGAACCUUGACAACUGCAUAGAUUAUUUUUGAAGACAAUAAGCAUCUUUAAUGAUGCAGAUUUUUAUUUAUGUUUAAAGCAUUAAAUAACAAUUCUAUUAAGCUGAUGCUUCAAUUAUUGAAGUUAUUGGUCAAGCUACAA
rnacentral:misc_RNA from 1 species